rnacentral:rRNA from 1 species
AUUGAACGCUGGCGGAAUGCUUUACACAUGCAAGUCGAACGGUAGAGGGGGCAACCCCUCGAGAGUGGCGAACGGGUGAGUAAUAUAUCGGAACGUGCCCAGUCGUGGGGGAUAACGUAGCGAAAGUUACGCUAAUACCGCAUACGAUCUACGGAUGAAAGCGGGGGAUCGCAAGACCUCGCGCGAUUGGAGCGGCCGAUAUCAGAUUAGGUAGUUGGUGGGGUAAAGGCUCACCAAGCCAACGAUCUGUAGCUGGUCUGAGAGGACGACCAGCCACACUGGAACUGAGACACGGCCCAGACUCCUACGGGAGGCAGCAGUGGGGAAUUUUGGGACAAUGGGGGGCAACCCUGAUCCAGCAAUGCCGCGUGAGUGAAGAAGGCCUCGGUGUAAGCUCUUUGUCAGGGAAGAAACAGCAGCUCUAACACAGUCUGCGAAUGACGGUACCUGAAGAAUAAGCACCGGCUAACUACGUG